ensembl:lincRNA Gm26546 predicted gene, 26546
CUCAACUGCACAAAUACCUGUUCCAGGCUCCAGUCACUCUUCCCGCUCCAUCCCUUCCCCUGAACUUCUCCAGCCCAAGGGCUUCCCAUUCCCAGCUUCCCCUUCUUACACAACCCUGGCAUUUCAGCCGCAGGCUCUCCCCCUGCUCUCUCUGAGUGCUUCCUCUCCCAUCCCUUCACUCCCUCUCCCAUCUCGCUCUCCUCUCCUCCCUUCUCUAUCUCUUCCAUCUCUCAACUCCCCCACCCCGUGGGCAGGUCCAGUCUGCGGGCCAGGAUCAGUCUACUUUUUCUCUCCCUGCUCUGGACUCUUCCAGGUGCCUCUGGCUGUUCUCUCCCUCCCCUCGCACCCACCAUAAAAACCUUCUUUCUGUGGAGAUAUGGAAGUGGGACAACAUUCGAAAUGUAAACAAAUAAAAUAAUAUAUUUUUUAAAAAGCCUUCUUUUUCAACCGUAUCUUGGAGUUGUGUGUCCUUAUUUCAUUCAGACCCAUCUCUCCACUUCGAGGGCUCACCCUAGAUUACCACCUUUGGGUUCAACUGUAUUCCUAUUUUAUCAGAAUUCCCAGGGGAUUUCUAACUAGUACUUGGCUUGACUUGUAAGGGAAAAUGAAUUAUUUAGUGGAUCCCACCCUUGAUUCCAUUUUUCCUCAAACUCUGGACAAGUGUUCAAACGACUUAUUAAAAAGCAAGAACCUAGGGCGGAGGAGAUAGAUUAACUAGUACAGUGCUGACCUAACGUGCAUAGAGCCCGGGUUAGAUUCCCCAGGACUGGGCAGAGUGGUCUUAAACUUUUAAUAGCUCAAUAACAAAAUUACAAUUCUAUAGUUUAUAACUAUAAUCCUAGCAUUAGGGAGGUUGAAGCAGAAGGGUCAGAAAGAAUUUCAAGGUCAUCCUCAAGUACAAGUGGAGUUGGAGGCUAGCCUGGGGUACAAGUAACCUUGUCUCAGACUCACACACACACACACACACACACACACACACACACACACACACAGAGGUGGGUAGUGGCUGGAGAGAUGGGUUUAAGAACAUUUAUUGCUCUUCUGAUAGACUGGAGUUUGGAUCCCAGCUCCCAUACUGAGAAUCCAGCUCAGUAACUCCAACUCCAGGAGACCUUCACACACACACACACAGACACAGACACACAAAUAAAAAUCUUCAAAUCCCCUCUUUACCUCUUACACUAAGGAGGAAAAUGAGCUCCCAGUUUACCAAUGAUCUUCUUAACCAUUAUAUGCAUCACAACUAGUUAACAGCCGGGUGCUACCUACACAAUCAAAGUCCCAGUUCAAGGAAAUAUUUCAAAGUGAAGAGGGAGACUAAACAAUUGAUGGUGAUAACAUCAACUAUUACGGCCUAACGACAGAGUUUGUUAUGUGCUAUCAAUCUUCCUACACUUAAUUUCCACUAGCGACCCUGAUAAGAAGACAGUUAUGCCUUUAUUUUAAAGAAGAGGAAGCUGAGAGGGCUCAGAUUUCCUCCCAGAUGUGAUAAGCAAAGCCCGGGGCUGCAGGAGAAACCAUCAGGAGCUGGGGUGAAGGGCAAUGGUGUGGCGGUAAGGGGAUGACCUUGAGGGUGAAGGAAUCUGCUGCCAACCCAAGUUUGAUUCCUGGGAACCACAAGGUGCAGAGAAAGAACCAACAGCACAAAGUGUCACAUGUGCACCCACAUGUGUGCACAUAACAUGCAUAUACGGAAGAAAAGCCUUAAGGGGGGGAUUACUGGGGGCUGGAGAGAUGGCUCAGUGGUUAGGGCUAGAGAGAUGACUCAGUGGUUAGGGGCACUGGCUGCUCUUCCAGAGGUCCUGGGUUAGGCCCCAUGUGGCUGCUCACAACUGUCUGUAACUCCAGUCCCAGGGGAUCUGACAUCCUUACACAUAUACACAACAUACAGGCAAAACGCUGAUCCGCAUGUUAUAUAUAAGAGGUGUUACUAAGACGUUGGCAUCAAAGCCAAGUUGUCUUAAGCUUGAAGCGCAUGUCUGCUGUGAAUUAGCCAUGUUAAUUUAUGCAAACACCUCAGCUGCAUAACCUGUGAGGCGGGUAAAAUAAUACUGUCCAGAUGCGAGGGCUGGGUGAAGACUAAAUUAGUGUAUGAAGCAGUUAGAGAACACCUAGUAAGGACUAUGCUUGCUAUUAUCAUGGUUAGCAUUAACUGGAGCCAUUGGUCACAUCCAGAUUAGCUCUCCCUGGCCCCUCCCCCAUCACAGGCCAGCUACCCCCACCUCUCCUGCUACCCGGUGACACUCUUAACUCUUAUUUCUCUCAUUUCAGCUAAACUUUUUGAUCUGUGUCUACGAGCCAGGCCUCAUGGCAUACACCUUGAAUCCCAGCACUCCAGAGGCAGAGGCAGGAGGAUCUGAGUGCAAGGCCAGCCUGGUCUAUAUAGGAAGUUCAAGCCCAGCCUGGGCGACGUGGUAAGACCCUGUCUCAAACUCUUCAAGGCUGUAACAAAUGCAUUUCACGCCAUGGUCAGUAAACAGCCCACUUAAAAUGAACCAGGUUAAAACCAUAAACCAACAACCCUAGCACUCAGAAGGGCUGAUAACGGAAGACUGUGAACUUCAGGCUAGCCUGGGCAACUUAGUAAGGCUCUUUCUCAGAAAUGAAAGCCAUUCAAAAGCAGUCAGACACUAACUAUGCGAAAACAUAUCAAGUUACAACACAUGAAACGUAGACGGACCGGGAGGUGGUGGAAAACUAAAACACUCCACAAUUGGAAGUGGGCGACAGUCUCAUUCUCACCUGUAAAAUUACUUUUUUCUAGUCCCUACAACCACUAAAAACACACUUAGAACCCGGCCAUAUCGCUCAGCCAAUCACUAAGCAGACGCUUAGUAUGCACACACUGGCACUGCCUGGCACUGGGCUUGGGCUAGGGUUACAGCAUUUAAAGUGACACCAGUUUCUCCACCGAGCUUACAGUCCCGUGUAGGUGCCGAGCGCACACAUGCGUAUUGUGCCGUUUUAUAAGAGCAUUCUGUUAAUUAUAAAACCCUUUUAACCUCUUACUAAAAUAUAAGCAAAUAAAUAAAACAGGGAGACCAUUCCAAACUCUUUGAAAGCGCAUGUUUUCUUCCUGUCUCCAGGGGCAGUGUUCUGUUGAAUGGCACACUUGUGCCCAUUCAUUUCUGACCUGCUCAUACCCCUUUGCACACUUAAGAUGGCGAAGACUGUACUAGACUACCCAAGAAUCAAAUAACUGAAAUUUAAACUGAAGAGUAAUGGCAGUCCCCAGAACGUUCAAGGUAUGUCUCCAAAGGAGCAUAAAAUUCAUUUAACCUGGCUGCUCACACCUCCCAAACCGGUUGUCUGUGCUCUUUGAAGAGUUUACAGUCUAAUCAAACUGCUUCACUGCACAUCAAUUAAACGCAGUUCUCAGUCCAAGAAGGACCAGCGACUUGAUCUAAAAAGUAUUAGCAUAGCCCAUGACGCAAGGGUGGGUCUGUGCUGGCUCUCAAGAGGUCCGGGGCUGGAGUCCAAGAUCCGCAGGCAGUCCUAGUCACCUGACAAGGGCCCUACUCUGAGAUAAGCACUUGGUGCUUCCCAUCAGCGUGUGCAUUCUCACUAGUAAGGCCUCCAACCCGCUGGCAUGCAGCUGUACAAAACAGCAGAGCCAUUAUGAAAAAGGAAAAAAGUUAAUUUAAAAAAAUCUCCCUUUCACUCUGCAAAAUUCACAUGCAAAACGGCGCAAAAUUCACAUGCAAAACCGCGCAAAAUUCACAUGCAAAGCCGCGCAUGCCUCUAAAACAAAGUCUGCGAUCCAGAAGAAACAGAAGAUAAGGUGUUUUGUCAACGGUGAAGGACUAGUAGGGUGGCACCGCAGGACUGGAUCCUACGGAGAGCCAGGGAAUGAAGGAUCACUACAGAAAAAUACAAACCCUAGGAGAGAGUUUCACUAGCGCAAGGCCUUAGAGCCAAAAUCAAAUGGCCAGAGGACUCUUGGGGACACCCUGCAGAAGGAAGGGGAUCCAUGCGCACGCUGAAGCACGCGAGGCCCGGACGUCCAGUCCAGCUGCUGCAGGCGAGCCGGGGAGAGGAUGCACGCUCAGCGCCUGGGACUAGUGGGCCGUGUGCUGGUCCCCAGGCUGCAGGGAAGAUGGGGAGGCAGAAGGGAGAUUCGGGGUGCCGGCACCGCCCCACGCCGGGAGGAGCCCGCGCCGCGCCACCGCCUCAGCGAGCCGCCAUUCAGGGGCCCCCGGACGCGCCGCCGCGCUUAGCUCACAGCCCCCGGCUGCCGCACAUUGUCGCUCCGGCGACCGACGGCCCGCUGGGCUCCACGCCGCGGCCGCCGCU